rnacentral:sRNA from 1 species
UCGGCGCGAGCCUGUGCCGAGAAGUGCCUU